ensembl:snRNA U6 U6 spliceosomal RNA
GUGCUUGUUUCAGCAGUACAUAUACUGAAAUUGGAAAGAUACAGAGAAGAUUAGCAUGGCCCUUGCGUAAGGAUGACACGCAAAUUUGUGAAGCAUUCCAUAUUUAA